AUUGAACGCUGGCGGCAGGCCUAACACAUGCAAGUCGAGCGGAUGAAGGGAGCUUGCUCCUGGAUGCAGCGGCGGACGGGUGAGUAAUGCCUAGGAAUCUGCCUGGUAGUGGGGGAUAACGUCCGGAAACGGGCGCUAAUACCGCAUACGUCCUGAGGGAGAAAGUGGGGGAUCUUCGGACCUCACGCUAUCAGAUGAGCCUAGGUCGGAUUAGCUAGUUGGUGGGGUAAAGGCCUACCAAGGCGACGAUCCGUAACUGGUCUGAGAGGAUGAUCAGUCACACUGGAACUGAGACACGGUCCAGACUCCUACGGGAGGCAGCAGUGGGGAAUAUUGGACAAUGGGCGAAAGCCUGAUCCAGCAAUGCCGCGUGUGUGAAGAAGGUCUUCGGAUUGUAAAGCACUUUAAGUUGGGAGGAAGGGCAGUAAGUUAAUACCUUGCUGUUUUGACGUUACCAACAGAAUAAGCCCCGGCUAACUUCGUG
rnacentral:rRNA from 1 species